GAUGAACGCUGGCGGCGUGCCUAAUACAUGCAAGUCGAGCGAACAGACGAGGAGCUUGCUCCUCUGACUUUAGCGGCGGACGGGUGAGUACCACGUGGAUAACCUACCUAUAAGACUGGGAUAACUUCGGGAAACCGGAGCUACUACCGGAUAAUAUAUUGAACCGCAUGGUUCAAUAGUUAAAGUCGGUUUUUCUGUCACUUAUAGAUGGAUCAGCGCCGCAUUAGCUAGUUGGUAAGGUAACGGCUUACCAAGGCAACGAUGCGUAACCGACCUGAAAGGGUGAUCGCCCAGACUGGAACUGAGACACGGUCCAGACUCUUACGGGAGGCAGCAGUAGGGAAUCUUCCGCAAUGGGCGAAAGCGGGACGGAGCAACGCCGCGUGAGGGAUGUAGGUCUUAGGAUCGGAAAACUCUGUUAGUAGGGAAGAACAAAUGUGUAAGUAACUAUGCACGUCUUGACGGUACCUAAUCAGAAAGCCACGGCUAACUACGUG
rnacentral:rRNA from 1 species